AUCUGUUCAAGGUGCCCGGCGUCGCGGAGACCAUCGACUGGGCGACGGCGCUCACCGAACUCGAUGCCCGCUCGCUGACGCCGCAGGUGGUGGGCGAUACGCUCUGUUGAAGUAUCAGGAUGAUAUUGCGCGCAUGCAGGGCCCGGCACUCGACAAGGUCAUCAAGGAAGCCGUCAGCGAUCCUGCGGCCUGAAUGCGUUUUCGGGAAU
rnacentral:misc_RNA from 1 species